rnacentral:rRNA from 1 species
UACGGAGGGGGCUAGCGUUGCUCGGAAUCACUGGGCGUAAAGGGUGCGUAGGCGGGUCUUUAAGUCAGGGGUGAAAUCCUGGAGCUCAACUCCAGAACUGCCUUUGAUACUGAGGAUCUUGAGUUCGGGAGAGGUGAGUGGAACUGCGAGUGUAGAGGUGAAAUUCGUAGAUAUUCGCAAGAACACCAGUGGCGAAGGCGGCUCACUGGCCCGAUACUGACGCUGAGGCACGAAAGCGUGGGGAGCGAACAGG